rnacentral:rRNA from 1 species
AGUGAACGCUGGCGGCAGGCCUAACACAUGCAAGUCGAACGGCAGCACAGUAAGAGCUUGCUCUUACGGGUGGCGAGUGGCGGACGGGUGAGGAAUACAUCGGAAUCUACUUUUUCGGGGGGGAUAACGUAGGGAAACUUAAGCUAAUACAGCAUACGACCUACGGGUGAAAGCAGGGGAUCUUCGGACCUUGCGCGAUUGAACGAGCCGAUGUCGGAUUAGCUAGUUGGCGGGGUAAAGGCCCACCAAGGCGACGAUUCGUAGCUGGUCUGAGAGGAUGAUCGGCCACACUGGAACUGAGACACGGUCCAUGCUCCUACGGGAGGCAGCAGUGGGGAAUAUUGGGCAAUGGGCGCAAGCCUGAUCCAGCCAUCCCGCGUGGGUGAAGGAGGCCUUCGGGUUGUAAAGCCCCUUUGUUGGGAAAGAAAAGCAGCAGGUUAAUACCCCGCUGUUCUGACGGUACCCAAAGAAUAAGCACCGGCUAACUUCGUG